CUUCUUUCAGUGAGAAUCUUGGAUUCUCCAAGAGAGUUGCAAAAUGUUCUACAGUUCCUAUACCAAUUAAGAUCGAGUUGGAAAACAAGGAAAAGGACUUCCAAUUUUCUGAUCUUUGGGCUGGACCAACUUACUCAAGAUAAUCCAUUCCGGGGUGAUCUGUUUGAAGCUGACUCUGCAACUAAGACCCUUUGCCGCAUCCUUAAUCUUGAUAUUUGCUGAUUGAAUGAUGAGAGUGUUCUAAUGGAAGUUUGAUGUUCCUGUAGACAAGGAAAUCCACACACUCUUUUCAGUCUUAUGAAUUGCUUGCAACCUUUGUAUAUUAUUAAGAGUAGAGUUUAGUACCACAUAUGGAGUGCAAUUUACUUUCUAAAGUAGCAGUGCAAGGGCUGGAAGCUUUCAACUUUCUCCAAAUUAGAUGGAAUUUGUGCUUUUUGCUAGCUGGGAAUAGCAAAUGUAGGUUGGUUUCUAAGGUUUGGGUUUUUGCUGGACAGAAUGUUGUUGAAUGCUAUGCAAGAAGGAUUGAUCAGGUGGCUAACAUAGUUAAGUGGCUAUGGAUUGAGGUGGUGUUGUUGCAAAGUUGACUGCAUUCGAUUAUGUUUGGCAUGGUAUUUAAUUGUCAUACAAGCAACAAUUCAGUUAGUAUCAAUGAUGUUUCCAUAGUUACCACUAGGGUAUUUUUAUUUUUUAUUUUUAAAAUUUUCAUUGCCAUUGUCUAGUAUCUCAACCUUGAUGGUGAUUUUAUCCUCUAUCAGGUUGCCUUUUUCAUCCAGUUAAACCAUACAUUUUCUCAUUACAUUAGACCCUCUAGUUUCUCUGUAUCUUUUGAAAUACUUGAAUAUUCUUAACUUCUUCGAAUUUCUCAUUGCCCACAUGUCCUGGGUUUUUGCAAGGAGCCGUGGGAGAAAAUUAGAUGAUGCUUUUUUCUCUUACAUCUUAAGUUCAGUAUCAUCCAGAUGCUGCUUUUGAUCUUCCAAAUACCUUGUAUAUUCCAUUCUUUUUUAUUGUGGUUUGAACAGUUUAUUUGCUCGAGUCUUUAGGCCCCGAGUUGAACUGGGCUAUAUGCCUCUUUUUUCUUUUAUUGAGUUCCAUUUUCAUGUCUUGGAGAUUGUCAAUGGUGCCAAAUGUUCCAGAUCAUGUACAGGGAUCCCAUGGACUAUAUUAAUCAGGAGGUAUGUAUAAAUGUUCUGAUUUCAUUGGUUUACAACAAAUCUUUAAAUGUUCUGCAUUAUGUCUCUAAAAGUAUCUAACAAUCAUUAUGAGGUUGUGUCGAACCAUUGUUAUUAUGGAAUUUGCUUUCUUACAUUAUAGGUGAAAGUUGAAUAUGUGAUCCUGUAAGUAACAUUUGUCAACCAAAUGAAUGGAUGAUUAGCACUAGGCAGUAGUUGUCAGAAUGGCAUACACAUUGCGUUACUUGGGCAAAUAAAAUUUCAUUAAAACAAUUUUUGAUAUUAUCUGGAGUUUGUAAAUUACUCAUCUGAAAAAGACAUAUCUGCUGAAUUAUUUGGGUGAGUGAAGGUACUGUGCUGCCAUUAUAGAUGAUGAUGAAGAUGAUGGUGAAUGUACCUAAACCAGAUAAAAGAGUUAUGACAGCAACAACUUGUAACGACGUCGUCUCGUGGGUACCCCUUUUCACAUUUUUAGGUUUCCCUUUUUGUACUAUCUGAUGCUUCCAUGUAGUAAGACUUAGCAAUUAACAAAGAUAAUAAAAUAAAAUAAAUCACUUGUCAAAUCACUAUAUUAUACAUUCUCCAUUUUAUGGCAAUCUCUCUCUCUCUGUACAUAAUAACAAACAAACAGGACAGAUACCAAAAUAAACAAGAAAAUUUAAAAAAUGACAUUGAAUAUCUUUAAUUCACUAGCUAAGGUCAAUUGCAUUCAUGUCCCUUCUGGAAAAUUUUGAUCACUGAUGGAUGGCUUUUACUGAAUCAAUGGAGCCCAGAAAAUGAGUGUAUAUAUAUAAUAAGUGUUGUUGCAUAUUUAUAUAUUUAUAUAAUAUAUAUAUAUAUUUCUACAAAGUAGAAUGUU